GUGGGGAAUUUUGGACAAUGGGCGAAAGCCUGAUCCAGCAAUGCCGCGUGCAGGAUGAAGGCCUUCGGGUUGUAAAGCCCUUUUGUACGGGAAGAAAUCAUUCGGGUUAAUACCCUGGGUGGAUGACGGUACCGUAAGAAUAAGCACCGGCUAACUACGUGCCAGCAGCCGCGGUAAUACGUAGGGUGCGAGCGUUAAUCGGAAUUACUGGGCGUAAAGCGUGCGCAGGCGGUGCUGUAAGACAGGCGUGAAAUCCCCGGGCUCAACCUGGGAAUUGCGCUUGUGACUGCAGUGGUGGAGUACGGCAGAAGGGGAUGGAAUUCCGCGUGUAGCAGUGAAAUGCGUAGAUAUGCGGAGGAACACCGAUGGCGAAGGCAGUCCCCUGGGCCUGUACUGACGCUCAUGCACGAAAGCGUGGGGAGCAAACAGGAUUAGAUACCCCAGUAGUCC
rnacentral:rRNA from 1 species